CAUUCAAGAAAACCCUAUCAACUUUAACGUUAACCUUACACCAGAACAUUCCAGGAAAGAUUAAAAAAGAGAGAAGGAACUCGGCAAAUUUUAGCCCCGCCUGUUUACCAAAAACAUCACCUCUUGACAUAAUAUAAGAGGCCCAGCCUGCCCGGUGACAAAGUUUAACGGCUACGGUACCCUGACCGUACGAAGGUAGCAUAAUCACUUGUUCCUUAAAUAGGGACCUGUAUCAACGGCAUCACGAGGGCUGCACUGUCUCCUCUCUUCAAUCAGUGAAACUGAUCCCCCCGUGAAGAAGCGGGGAUUAAGCUAUAAGACGAGAAGACCCCAUGGAGCUUUAAACACGUACUCACACUAUACUUACAUGCCCCUUAACUAAAAGCCCUGAGUACAAGUUUUAGGUUGGGGAGACCGCGGAGAACAACUAAACCUCCACGACAAACGGCCCUUAAGUCCUUAUCUACGAGCCACAGCUCUAAGAAUCAAUAUACUGAUGAUUAUGACCCGAUACUAUUCGAUUAACGAACCAAG
rnacentral:rRNA from 1 species